rnacentral:rRNA from 1 species
CCCUUAGAUGUCCUGGGCUGCACGCGCGCUACACUGAUGUGUCCAGUAAGCACCUAACCUCUUCCGAAAGGAACGGGUAACCUUUGCAAAGCACAUCGUGAUGGGGAUAGAUUAUUGCAAUUAUUAGUCUUGAACGAGGAAUUCCUAGUAAGCACAAGUCAUCAGCUUGUGUUGAUUACGUCCCUGCCCUUUGUACACACCGCCCGUCGCUCCUACCGAUUGAAUGUUCCGGUGAGCUCUUCGGACUGCGCGGUCUGCAGUUUCUGCGUUCCUUGCGGAAAGUUGCGCAAACCUUAACAUUUAGAGGAAGGAGAAGUCGUAACA